UGGGGAAUAUUGGACAAUGGGGGGAACCCUGAUCUAGCCAUGCCGCGUGUGUAAAGAAGGCCUUAUGGUUGUAAAGCACUUUAAGCGAGGAGGAGGGUACUGGUAUUAAUACUACCAGGUACUGGACGUUACUCGCAGAAUAAGCACCGGCUAACUCUGUGCCAGCAGCCGCGGUAAUACAGAGGGUGCGAGCGUUAAUCGGAUUUACUGGGCGUAAAGCGUGCGUAGGCGGCUAAUUGAGUCGGAUGUGAAAUCCCCGAGCUUAACUUGGGAAUUGCAUUCGAUACUGGUUAGCUAGAGUGUGGGAGAGGAUGGUAGAAUUCCAGGUGUAGCGGUGAAAUGCGUAGAGAUCUGGAGGAAUACCGAUGGCGAAGGCAGCCAUCUGGCCUAACACUGACGCUGAGGUACGAAAGCAUGGGGAGCAAACAGG
rnacentral:rRNA from 1 species